CAUCACCACAUGGAAGACAAGAGUUUGAAGAGAAACAGGAAACAACCCCAGGCCUGAGAGGCGGUCGCCUGCCCCCUGCCCCCUGAGAGAGCCUGCUGCCUCCUCCCUCCAACCAGGACUGCUGCGGGGAGGCUGGCGGGCAGAUGAGGAAACUGAGGGAUGUAGGAGGAGAAAUGAGUUUUUCCAGAAGACACUGGGGUGAGUGGAUGGAAGCCCCUGGCAGGCAGGCGCUCAAAUCACCUCUGCUGUCUGGUCCUUUCUGCUAACCCUUCUUGGCCUCAAGCAAGCGUCACCCAAGUCGACCAAGCCACCUUUCUCACCCCUGAUGUCUCUGUGGUGGGUCACCCAGCCUCUGCUAAAGAACAGAACGAAAGUGACUUGGCAGGUAAGUGCACAGCCCACAGGGAAGAGGCCAAAGUCAGCCACCAACUGACUGCUAGCAAAUGGAAGGAGCUCCUGAGAGGGGAAACUUGAUUUUUAUUUAUGAGUGGCUUUUAGGGUUUCUGACAGAGCCACAGAAAUUACGGAUUACUGUGGAUUUUGGUCACCAGCUGGGAGUUAUCCUUUAUUAGCACGAAGGAUUGAGAGCUGCCUAGGGCAACACUACCAUUUAAAAAAAAUCUUGAUUUCUGGGCGGCGCCUGUGGCUCAGUCGGUAAGGCGCCGGCCCCAUAUACCAAGGGUGGCGGGUUCGAACCCGGCCCUGGCCAAACUGCAACCAAAAAAAUAGCCGGGCGUUGUGGCGGGCACCUGUAGUCCCAGCUACUCGGGAGGCUGAGGCAGGAGAAUCGCUUAAGCCCAGGAGUUGGAGGUUACUGUGAGCUGUGUGAGGCCACGGCACUCUACCGAGGGCCAUAAAAUGAGACUCUGUCUCUACAAAAAAAAAA